rnacentral:tRNA from 2 species
GGUCGCUUAGCUCAGUCUGGUUAGAGUACUACCUUGACAUGGUAGGGGUCACUGGUUCGAGUCCAGUAGCGACCACCA